GGCCCGGUAGCUCAGUUGGUAGAGCAAAGGACUGAAAAUCCUUGUGUCACUGGUUCGAGUCCGGUUCGGGCCA
rnacentral:tRNA from 4 species